rnacentral:rRNA from 1 species
UCCAGCUCCAAUAGCGUAUAUUAAAGUUGUUGCGGUAAAAAAGCUCGUAGUUGGAUUUCUGUUGAAGACGUCCGGUCCAUACCACGUAUGCGCAUCUGGCUCGGCUUCGGCAUCCUCUCGAAAGACGUUUCUGCGCUUGAUUGCGUGGAGCGGAUCUCGGGACUUUUACUUUGAGGAAAUUAGAGUGUUCACGGCAGGCUAUCGCCAGAAUACAUUAGCAUGGAAUAAUACUAUAGGAUCUCGGUUCUAUUUUGUUGGUUUCUAGAAUUGAGAUAAUGAUUAAUAGGGACAAUUGGGGGCAUUCGUAUCAACACGUUAGAGGUGAAAUUCUUGGAUCGUGUUGCGACGAACUACUGCGAAAGCAUUUGCCAAGGAUGUUUUCAUUGAUCAAGAACGAAAGUAAGGGGAUCGAAGACGAUUAGAUACCGUCGUAGUCUUUACCAUAAACUAUGCCAACUAGAGAUGGGACAUCGUUCACUUAAGACUUGUUCCGCACCUUAUGAGAUAUCAAAGUCUUUGGGUUCCGGGGGGAGUAUGGUCGCAAGUCUGAAACUUAAAGGAAUUGACGGAAGGGCACCACCAGGAGUGGAGCCUGCGGCUUAAUUUGACUCAACACGGGGAAACUCACCGGGUCCAGACAUAAUAAGGAUUGACAGAUUGAUAGCUCUUUCUUGAUUUUAUGGGUGGUGGUGCAUGGCCGUUCUUAGUUCGUGGAGUGAUUUGUCUGCUUAAUUGCGUUAACGAACGAGACCUUAACCUGCUAAAUAGGAGCGCCUAUCUCCGGAUAAGCGCCUUUCUUCUUAGAGGGACUUUAUGCGUUUCAGCAUGAGGAAGUUUGAGGCUAAAAC